CAAGAUGUCAAGUGAUCUCUAUACUCUUUUACUUAAUCUUGCCUUUUUAAAAUCCAAAUCCCUCAAUUGCUACCUCCCAAAACCCUAAUUCAUUUAUCUUUAUCAUCUCAGAUCUCUUUUUGGGCGGAUGUUUAAAGAGCACUUUAUGUCGUUCUCUCUAUAUACUCUCCACAACUCAUAUUUGAGCUCUUGGUGAAUGUUGUAUUAAGUUCAAGGAAAUUAAGUUGCAGACAUACUUGCAAUCUCUCGGUUCGUUUGAAGUGCUUAAUAUUGCCUUUGAAUUGGUCUAGGAUUGCUUAUUUGACAAAUAGUAUCUGGAUAUGGAAUCAGGACAACAAUCAGGGGCAUCCUUGUCUCAAAAAGGCUUGACUGAUGAUCUGCUCUCAAAUUCCAGCAACAUAAAUGCCGUUAGUACUGUCAAGAAGCUUCUGUUUCGUCGAAUGUUGGUGGGUGUGAAUGAUGGAAGAUUUUUCAUGGGGAACUUUCAUUGCAUGGAUAAGCAAGGCAACAUAAUUUUGCAAGAUGCCCUAGAGUUUCGAAGCCUAAGACGGUCAUCUCCGUCACCUAUGGAACAACGUGGACUUGGUCUUGUUCUCAUCCCCUCAUCAUGUCGAACCUCUUGCCAUAUUGAUUGCUCUGUGGAUGAACAAUUAUCAUUGCUCUUAAUCAAGGACGAUUAGUUGUAGUAGAUGUGAUUGUUCCCCUGUCCAUAUUUUGUUCACUAUGUAGAAUACAUUAAAAAACAUGGAAUUAAGGUUUUGGCAAUGCUAUUAGUAUUGUUAAAUGCAUAAUAAAAAAACUUCAAUUGUCAACCUAUUAACCCCUGCCUCUUUCAAAUUGCUUUGUGUAUUAAGAUGGGAAAUAUUUUGUAUUCUUAUUUCAUCUCUUUUAGGAUCUCGGGUAUUGACAAUCUCUCGAAUUCCUUUAGGGAGACGGAUGUUUGAGAUUGAAGAUGAAGAGGACUUGUUGCAAGUGGUUGUUAAGAACUGAGCUAUUAAGUUGUGAAUAAGUGAUUGAUUGCUUUUAAGUUUUGCGCAUCGCAAAAGAAUUCAUAAACUAAGAUCGGAAUGUGAGAGUAUAAACAAGUAAUGUGGAAACAAGUAAUAGCCAGUGUGCCGGAAUACUUGUUCAUUGAAACACAUUUAUUGGUUUUCUUUUUUAAUUUUUUUCUACAUCUUGAAUUUUCAUGGGUAUUACUAAUUCCAUCUCAUUUCUUCGUCUAUAAAUCUUGGUUCGCUAUCCUCGUUUUGAUAAGAGUUAUUGAGCCGCUAUGUGUGUUAGCUUUGGCUGUUGCCAUGCCGCAUGCCAGCUUCCACUUCUAAUAUAGUUGUAUGUCCCAUUCUGACUUUUGGUACUUUCUCUUUCUCGUAGGAAUUUGAUUAUCUGAUGUGGAAAUUUUCAUCUGCAGCUAGAAGGGACCAGUCGAUUCAUUGCACUUUCUUUGAUAUCAGCAAAACUGGUCUUUUUUGUAAGGUUUUGGUGCCUUCCAAGCUUGGGAGGGGUAAGUGUCUACAGCACCCUGCUCUUCCUGCAUGCAUAGCCUUUGUAUUUCUGUUUUUCAAUAUUGUUCACCACUGAUGGCUUGAUGAUUUGAUGACUACAAUUUCACUAAGCAUGGUAUGUUUUGGCUCCAAAAAUAAAAUAGUGCGGUAACCUUAAUCCCUAUAUUAUAAAUUCAGUAGCUCUAAUAAUAAAAGCAUUAUAUUUGAUUUUUACUUUAACGUCAUCAAGGUGAUGGAAUACUAUUGUUGGCAUGCUUAAUUUCUUAACAACUAGAGCAUUAUAUUUGAUUCAAUAAAACGGUGUUAUUUUAUCAUUCUAUGGAUGAAUUUCAAACAACAAAUAAAAUGGUCAAUAAAACUAUCAAUAAUACUGUUAAAACAUUGCAUAAUAUAAGUACUAUUAUUCAAUACAUAUAUGAUGGUUUUAAUAGAAUAUAAGAGUACUUAUACUCUUUAAUCAUCGAUUAAUAAUAGUGAUAUUGCUCUUUCCUAAACAGUUUCUGUUCAUAAUGGAAUUGGAAAUAAAGUUGUAGGUGUAAUGUUUGUUUACCCUGAAUGUGAAGGUGGAGAAGUUUUGAUUUUGAAUUAUGUUUGCCAAUUAAUUCAAUGAAUGCUCUUUGAAAUGACCAAGAGUUUAAGGCUUUUUUGUUAUAAAAAUUUUCAAUUUUGUUUUAAGAAUGAUCAAUUCAGACCUUAAAGUGAUUAAUUAUGAUCAGUUAUAACUUAUAAAAGAAUUUAAUUAUAAUCUUAAAUGUGUCAAUUAUGACCUUAAAUAGAUUAAGUACUAAACGCAUAUUGAGAAUAAUUAUAAUUGGUCUGAUUGGCUAUUCUUCUCACAUUGAGACGGUCUCGUCCAAGACUAGCUGAUAAGGAUUAACUCAAUUUGGGCCCUUCAUGAGCUGAGUCCUAGACAGUUGCACCUCAAAAACUACUCUUAGGAACGGCCCAGUCGGUAAUUCAAGGUGAACCAUCAUCAAUACAAACCUUAUCACAAAAACUAUUAGACGCCCACUUCGCAGACGAAGAGUGACUGCAUUACAACCUUGAUAACUGUAUCGCAAAACCUAGAAAUGGCUAGAGUUAUCAAUGACACAUUGAGCAUCUCUUUC